UCCCAAAGUGCUGGGAUUAUAGGCAUAAGAUACCACACCCAGCCUACCCUUGUACCUUAAAAAAUAUUUAUUUUAUAGGCAGAGCAGUUGAGUUUGCUCUAUUUCAGAAAGAUUUAAAAAUUUUUCUUCUAGGAGCAAUUCAAAGAGCCAGAGAUGAAAAUUGGAAACAGAAGAUAACCACAUGAAAUAUUUAAAAAUUCAAACUUUGUGUAUUUUUCAUCUAUUAACAUUCCUGUCUGUAUCAAUUUAAGUAUAAAUAUGAAUAGCUCAGAAUAUAUUUUUGUUUUUAAAUUAAAAGAAAAGAGAGCCUACUUAAGACUUGUGGUAAGAUUUAAGAUUAGCUUUUAAAGUAAAGAACCCUAAAUAAUACAUGAAGAACAUUGAAUUCUGAAUAAAAGCAGAACAGAAAAGGAAGCUUAAAUGGGGAAAAUGAAAAGACCCAUAUGUUUGGAUUCAGUAAUAAAAUAGACUUCAGUGGCUAGUGGAAUGAUAGCUUACAUACAUAUUUUAUUGGCCUGAAAUAUGACUGUUUUAUAAAUGUACUCAUUGAAACAGUGGUGACAGUUGUGACAGCAAUCUCAAAUGGGAGCAAAAUGUUUGCAUUAAGUGUUACUGCUAGUAAUGUAAAUGUUGCCAGAUUAGGCAAUGAGUUCAUAAGCUAAAGAAAGUGAAAAGUUCCAAAAAAGUCAAAAUCCAUGUUUAAGAAUUCAGUAUUAGAUGCCUUCAGGAUUAAUGAAGGCCAUUAAUAUAUGUGAGUCAAAGUAAUAUUACAACUAAAGAGCAUGUUUGGGGACAUGACAAGGCCCUUAAGACAGAAUUAAAUGGAUAUGAAGUCAGACCAUAUCUAUAUUCAAGAACUCCAUUAGAAUAAGAUGAUAGUCCUGUCAAAUUUUUACAUAAAUAUUCACUGAUAAUCUGCUAUAUCUCAUGCACUAUUCCAGAAUUUGGAAUAUAAGUGACUAUCAUUGUGGACAAUAAAGGUAUAUUAAAGUAAAGCCAAGCUACUAUAAACUAAAAGACCUCAGUAAAUAGUGACUUAAAGAAUGUAAACAUUGGCCAGGUGCAGUGGCUCACUCCUAUAAUCCUAGCACUCUGGGAGGCCUGGGCGGGUGAAUUGCUUGAGCUCACCAGUUUAAGACCAGCCUAAGCAAGAGUAAGACCCCCGUCUCUAAAAAUAGCUGGGCGUUGUGGCGGGUGCUUGUAGUCCCAGCUACUUGGGAGGCUGAGGCAAGAGAAUCACUUGAGCCCAAAGAGUUGAGUUUGCUGUGAGCUAUGACACCACAGCACUCUACUGAGGGUGACAAAGUGAGACUCUGUCUCAAAAAAUUAAAAAAAAAAAGAACAUAAACAUGGACUGCUCAAAUGACUAUUCCAAGGUACUGAGUGAGUGGUCCAAGUCUGCCAGGCAACUCUGUUUCCAGUGGCCAUUCAGGGACAAAUUUUCUGGAAAGUCAUUGCACCAACAUCUCCUAGGUUAAGAGUUGGCUAAUAUUUCAGUAAAGGCUGAAAAGUAAAUAUUUAGACUCUGUGGGCCACACAGUUGCUAUCACAACUACUGUUUUUACUGUGGUAGCCCCAAAGGAGCCAUAGACAAUAUAUCAAUGAAUAAGUGUGGCUAUGUUCCAAUAAAACUUAAGGAACACUGAAAUUUUAAUUUCAUAUAAUUUUCACAUAUAUUGAAGUAUUGUUAUUCUUUUGAUUUUGGGGGGGGGGGUAGAGGCCUGGAUUUCAUCUGAGGUUGUAGUUUUUUGACCCUGUCCUAUGGCUUUGCUGGCUACAUAGAGCUGAGUGCCACUCAGUUGGAAAGUAUUGGUGGAAAGAGAAGUGGCCUAAUGGGAGACACAUCCAGUUCCUUGAGACAAUGGUCUUGUCACAACAAAUGUGAUUUUUAUUCCCAUUUCAUUUAUGAGAACUGAGUUUCUUGAUCCCACCUAGUGACAAACCUAAUGUCCUCACAUAACCAUGUCCUGGGGUAUAAGCUUAAUACUGUGAAGGAAGGGCACAGAUUUUGUUGGACAACUUUCAGUCUCUGCCUCAGAUGAUUGAUACUUUCUCCUGUUUUGUUUCCUGUUAGUGGCAUGUAUCUCUGUACCCCACACCAAGAAUAAAAAAAAAUUAGUCAAAGAAAUCCUUUUCUUUGGCCAAGUCAGGAUAACUAAGGCUCUAAUAGUUUUACUAUAAACAUAAAUAAAUGGGUGUUUAGGGCACAGCAGAUAAUAGGGAAAAGACAGAGAGACAGAUGAAAGAUAAUAAGAAUCUAGACUCAGAGUUCUUGCCGGAAGUGGAGAGCGGCUGAUCGCAGUCCUGAGGUGGUACAUUAUGGCUGACAUACAAAAUCUGGUAGAAAGACUGGAGAGGGCAGUGGGCCGCCUGGAGGCAGUAUCCCAUACCUCUGACAUGCACUGUGGGUAUGGAGACAGUUCAUCAAAAGGGGCAAUUCCAUAUGUGCAAGCAUUUGACUCACUGCUUGCUGGUCCUGUGGGAGAGUACUUGAAGAUCAGUAAAGAAAUUGGGGGAGACGUGCAGAAACAUGCAGAGAUGGUCCACACAGGUCUGAAGUUGGAGCGAGCACUCUUGGUUACAGCCUCUCAGUGUCAGCAGCCAGCUUUCUGAUUUGUUGGCACCCAUCUCAGAGCAGAUCCAAGAAGUGAUAACUUUUCGGGAGAAGAACCGAGGCAGCAAGUUGUUCAAUCACUUGUCAGCUGUCAGUGAAAGUAUCCAGGCCCUGGGCUGGGUGGCUAUGGCUCCCAAGCCUGGCCUCUAUGUGAAAGAAAUGAAUGAUGCUGCCAUGUUUUAUACAAACCAAGUCCUCAAGGAGUACAAAGAUGUGAAUAAAAAGCAUGUAGACUGGGUCAAAGCUUACUUGAGUAUAUGGACAGAGCUGCAGGGUUACAUUAAAGAGUUCCAUACCACUGGACUGUCCUGGAGCAAGAUGGGGCCUGUGGCAAAAGAACUGAGUGGAUUACCAUCUGGCCCCUCUGUUGGAUCAGGCCCUCCUCCCCCACCGCCAGGACCACCUCCUCCCCCAGUCCCCACCAGUUCAGGCUCUGAUGAAUCUACAUCCCAUUCAGCACUGUUUGCGCAGAUUAAUCAGGGGAAGACCAUCACACAUGCAUGUAUCUGAUGACAUGAAGGUCGCACAAGAACCCUGCCUUGAAGGCUCAGAGUGGUCCAGUACGCAGUGGCCCCAAGCCAUUCUCUGCACCCAAACAAACCAGGCCAUCCCCCAAAACAACCACAAAGAAGGAGCCAGCUCUACUUGAACUGGAGGGCAAGAAGUGGAGAGUGGAAAAUCAGGAGAAUGUUUCCAACCUGGUGAUUGAUGACACAGAGCUGAAACAGGCAGUUUACAUAUACAAAUGUGUCACCACCACAUUGCAAAUCAAGGGCAAAAUUAAUUCCAUUACAGUAGAUAACUGUAAGAAACUUGGUCUGGUAUUUGAUGACGUGGUGGGCAUUGUGGAGAUAAUCAAUAGUAGGGAUGUCAAAGUUCAGGUAAUGGGUAAAGUGCCAACCAUUUCCAUCAACAAAACAGAUGGCUGCCAUGCUUACUUGAGCAAGAAUUCCCUGGAUUGUGAGAUAGUCAGUGCCAAAUCGUCUGAGAUGAACGUCCUCAUUCCUAUGGAAAGCGGUGACUUUAAUGAGUUUCCAGUCCCUGAGCAGUUCAAGACCCUAUGGAACGGGCAGAAGUUGGUCACCACAGUGACAGAAAUUGCUGGUUAAGCGAAGUGCCACUAGGUUCUUUGCCCUCUCCCUUCACACCAUGGGAUAAAUCUGUAUCGAGACAGUUCUUUUCUUGAUUUCCUCUACCUUUCUGCUCUUAAACUGCUUCUCUACUCUGAGAAGCACAGCUACCUGCCUUCACUGAAAUAUACCUCAGGCUGAGAUUUGAGGUGGGAUAGCAAGUCAGUUGGAUCUUGUGCAGGAAGGUGCGACCUUUCCAUAUCAGUUCAGUCACUCAACCAGUCCAUUCUUAACAAACUGAGGAGCAGGACUGGUGCCUUUCAGCUUUUGGCUUUGGGGGUGUUAUUCUACCAACAGACAGUCCUUUGAGAAAAAUAAAACAGUCCUAGGAAUUAACAGAUCAGAAUGUUCACGCUAGUUAAUCUUUUUUCUGACAAUGAGCAUGAGGGUAUUAGAAGCUGGUAUUGACUCCAGAUAGCUCUUCUAACCAAACUAACUUUUCACUGUUGACAAGUGAAGGCAAGGGUAGAACCAGAUCAAAAGCUGAGGCUUGGCCAUCUGGCAUUCCAAGCAAAAUUGUUUCCUAUAAGCAUUCCUUUUAUUCUGCGUUCCAUCCUGGGUCUGUUUCAACCAUGAGAUAGAAGGUUCUUUGGUACUAGCUACUGUAGCAGUGCCCUUCAUCCAGGGCCAUUAAAGGUGUCUUGGACUCUUUCUUUCUCUGGGAUCCCUGCCUAGCACCUUCCUAUCUUUCCCUAAAGAUGUCUUUAAA